rnacentral:rRNA from 1 species
UACGGGGGGGGGUAAGCGUUGUUCGGAAUUACUGGGCGUAAAGGGCUCGUAGGCGGCCAACUAAGUCGGACGUGAAAUCCCUCAGUUUAACUGGGGAACUGCGUCCGAUACUGGAUGGCUUGGAUUUGGGAGAGGGAUGCGGAAUUCCAGGUGUAGCGGUGAAAUGCGUAGAUAUCUGGAGGAACACCGGUGGCGAAGGCGGCAUCCUGGACCAAUAUUGACGCUGAGGAGCGAAAGCCAGGGGAGCAAACGGGG